AUGGAGGUGCUCUGCAUCGGGACGGCCGACACCAAGCUGGAGGAGCUGCUCUUCCUCGCCACUUGCCUCCGCUCCAGCCUCGCCGCCUCCGCCUCCGUCCCAAAGGUUAAAGUGAGCAUAGUGGAUGUGUCCACAACUAAAACAGUACCAACACAAGAUUCUGAAGACAUUGCAGUUAUUGCAAGAGAUACAGUUCUCUCAUGCUAUCCGGAUUCCAGCCAACAAGAUCUUCCAGAUGACAGAGGUGAAGCGAUUGCGCUUAUGUCAAAGGCCCUUCAGAGCUUUCUGAAAAACAGAUAUGAGGCCGGCACCCUGGUUGCUGCUGUUGGCUUAGGAGGAAGUGGAGGAACCGCACUAAUUGCUCCUGCUCUAAGAUCCCUACCACUCGGAGUGCCUAAGCUUAUUGUAUCCACUGUUGCUAGUGGCAAUACUGCACCCUAUGUUGGAACAUCUGACCUGGUAUUAUUUCCUUCAGUUGUUGACAUAUGCGGAAUAAACAGUGUCAGCCGUGUUAUAUUGUCCAAUGCCGCUUCAGCUGUCGCCGGAAUGGUAUAUGGGAUAUUAAUGGCUUCCAAUGAAUCAGAUGAAACAGACACAAAGCUGACUGUUGGAAUUACAAUGUUUGGUGUUACCACACAAUGUGCAAAUGCGGUCAAGGAUAGACUGAACAAAGAAGGGUAUGAGACGCUUGUAUUCCAUGCCACUGGUGUCGGAGGCAAAGCAAUGGAAGAACUAGUUAGAGGUGGUUUCAUACAGGGUGUAUUGGACAUAACAACAACAGAAGUUGCAGAUUAUAUUGUUGGAGGUAUCAUGGCAUGUGAUGAGACCAGGUUUGAUGCGGCUAUAGAUAAAAAGAUCCCUCUGGUUCUGAGUGUUGGGGCCUUGGAUAUGGUUAACUUUGGAGCUCAUGAUACAAUACCUGCUGCUUUCUUAGACAGAAAGAUCCACAUACAUAAUGAACAGAUUUCGUUGAUGCGGACGACCUUGGAGGAGAACAAGAAAUUUGCUCAGUUUAUUGCUGACAAGCUGAACAAAUCUUUAUCUACAGUUACUGUUUGCCUUCCACAGAAGGGCAUCUCUGCAAUUGAUGCACCUGGAAUGCCGUUUUAUGAUCCUGAGGCUACAUCUGCACUCUUGGAUGAGUUAAAUACUCGUCUUGUCAAAACUGAGAACAGACAGGUGAAACUGCUUCCUUAUCAUAUAAACGAUCCUGAAUUUGCCAAUGCCUUGGUGGAUGCAUUCUUGAGUAUGGAUAUAAAGGCCUCUAGUGCCAUAACUCAGAAAAACAACAUGGUCCUACCAAAGCAAGACACAAAUGAAAAAGAAUCUUCUUCAGGACAGAAGACUUCAGAUAGUUCUAUCAUAUGGAGACCCCCCAUGGAUUUCCCUGAUGCAAGACCAGAAACUUUGCAAAAGACAAAGUCAAUACUACAUAAAUUAAAGCAACAAAUCGGUGAGGGUAUUCCUGUAAUUGGAGCCGGUGCUGGUACGGGCAUAUCUGCAAAGUUCGAAGAAGCUGGUGGGGUUGAUCUGAUUGUGUUGUACAAUUCCGGGAGGUUCCGUAUGGCUGGAAGGGGCUCAUUAGCAGGGCUCCUCCCAUUUGCUGACGCAAAUGCAAUUGUACUUGAGAUGGCCAAUGAGGUGUUGCCUGUCGUUAAAGAAGUCCCUGUUCUUGCUGGGGUUUGUGCUACCGAUCCAUUUCGUAGAAUGGAUCACUUUCUUAAACAGCUGGAAGCCAUUGGAUUUUGUGGUGUCCAAAAUUUCCCUACGGUUGGUCUGUUUGAUGGAAACUUCAGACAGAAUUUGGAAGAAACUGGAAUGGGCUACAGCAUGGAAGUGGAGAUGAUCUCAAGAGCCCACAGCAUGGGUUUCCUGACGACCCCAUAUGCCUUCAAUCCAGAAGAAGGCGCUUCCAUGGCCAAGGCCGGAGCGCACAUCGUAGUCGCGCAUAUGGGCCUCACAACAGCUGGGUCAAUUGGCGCAAAGACGGCCGCCACUUUAGAUGACAGCGUUGCCCGGGUUCAAGCCAUUGCCGAUGCCGCAGUCGGCGUUAACCCUGACAUCAUUGUUCUCUGCCAUGGAGGUCCCAUAUCAGGGCCCCGGGAGGCGGAGUUUAUCCUGAAGAACACGAACCGGGUCCAUGGAUUCUACGGCGCCUCGAGCAUGGAGAGGCUGCCGGUUGAGCAGGCCAUCACAAACACCAUGAAGGAGUACAAACGCAUGUCUCUGAAAUGA
rnacentral:rRNA from 1 species